AGGAUUAUUAUGAACAUCUGAUUUUGCUGGCAAACAUUGGAAGUGAAGAUUAAAAGAGUUUAACAAGCUUCCAUCUUCAAAAGGCAGCUGACCACAAUGAGCAAGGAGCAGGACAGCUACAGCAUCAGGGGCCAGCAAGAUAAUCCUGCUAGCAAGACAGCUGCAAAGGGAAAUGCUGGCUUUGCUUACUUGGAAUCGUUGUCCUACCCUCAGCAGAUACAUCAUCCAAAUGACAGAGCUUGAACUUGGCCUAAAGAUACAGAGGAGCAAGACCAACUCUCCAACCCUGCCAGCGCUUGAUGGACAGGCAAUCCAAAUUAACAAGGGCAAUUAUUUUUUUGGCUGUGACACUUAAAUCCAGUAGAUUUGGUUUGUCAGUCAUGAGUCAGCUCUGAAAUAAGCUUGUGCCUUCAAGGUAUGAUAUAGAUGCUUCAGAGCUGACACCUCGUAAGUCCUUUUAUAUGUAUGGAGAGCUUAAUAUUGCUGUUCCAAGGCAGCAAUUACACUAGACAGCAGGUUGGGAGGAGGGGUUCACAUAACUGGCAACCAGAAAGAAGGAGUCAAAAUAAAGUUAAUGAGAUUUCUUUUUAAGAUAACUGCUGUGUCCUCUUUAAAACAGAUGAAGGCCCCUUAGGUGGAAACUGAGGGAAAAGCAAUGAAUAGCAACAGGAAAAUAAACUAGAAACAUAUGUAAAACAAAAAGAGAGGCAAAAUCAACAGGCCUUUCCAAGCCUCACCUUUAAGCCCCAGGUCCUGGAACCAGGAGAUUGCAUCCGGUCCCCAGUGUCCUUAAAGAAAGUUAUUUUCUCCUUCUUACCAUCCUCUCCAAAGAAGAGUUCAAAAACCUGACCCAGAUGUGCUUUAAAGGAAAAUACAGACAAGGCACCCACAUUUAGCCAGCAAGCAUGAGGUCUUUCUUUAAAACCAGAUCAGUCUCUUAGUUCUUUGAGAUUUGCCCCAAAACUUUUAAACAGCAAGGAAGUGUUCAAAAUGCUGGUAACACUGCACGGAUUGGAUUAAUUAAUAGUUUGGGCCUUGGAAACACUAAACAAUUAUGCUGCUUUCUAGACAUAAUGAGACUAUUUUUUUUUAAGUGUUUAUAGAAGGUGUUUAUGUGCAAACAUGUAGCUUUCAGGCCAAAUUAAAAUCCAAUACUGGAAGGUAAACCACGAAGACUGAGAUGUGGACAGACACACUAAAGCCUGUAAGCUCUGUAUUGUAAGCCCAGUGUUUCCCAGUACUUCUGGAGACAGUACAUUUAUGGUGGUAAAAGACCCAGCUCACACCACAAUGACAAUGGGACACUAUAAUGAGAUUGGUGGGACACAAUAAUGAUAUUGGCAGCUGCCUGCAAGUCUUCUACUGCUGAUGUUUUGGGAUAGGUCAGACACCACAACCCAUAUUUAGAGCAUGCUUUUCAGAGACAUCGGCCACCCACAAUUCCUGCAGGGCUGGUCACAGACACCAAGCCAGCAGCUGUAAAGUUCUUAUUUCAUAUGUUGUGUUUCCAGUCAACACACAAAGCUUAGGUAGGGAACAUAUUGUCAGGAAUGCCUUCUGGGUUUGUCUUUUUUUUUCUUUUUUCAGCCUGUUUCCCACAUAGUUUUACUGAGGAACAAGAAAAUCAAAUGACUUGCAUGGAGGUCACAGAGUGAGUCAUCAGCUCAGCCCAGUGACGGUCAAAUAAUGCUUAUUUGUAAAACUAUAAUUUUAUAGUGCUCUACUGCAUAACUUUAAAAAUGAAUGUAUGGGAAAAAUACACCCACAUAUGACAAACGUACUUAUACUCGCUCUGCUUUGGGUGGACGUUCUGUUAGUCACAGGGAAGCAUCUGUGUAAAGCUUUUUUUGUUGCUGCUUUUUGCUUCUCUAGACAUUUCAUCAAAUGGUCCCUGAGUCAGAAGAAGUGGGUUUUGCUAUUAAAGUCUGUGUGGAGGCUGCAUUCCAAAGCUGUUGGAGGGUUCGAAGAUAAAUAUUCCUACUUUGGGAAAAAAUUAAAAAAUAAAAAACCUAACAUCUUUGAUUUAAAAACAACAACAACAACAAUCCAAAUUGAAUGUAAUGUUUACAAAGACAACAAAAAACCAAUGAUCCUUCCUGAUCAUUGGAAGUCUCUGGAACUGAAAUGGGAGAGGAGUUUCAUUAAAGCACAAGUUCCUUUAAAAUUGCUCUCAAUUGUAUAGCAUAUGUGCCUACUGCACUAAAAAAAAUGGUAUUGAUUCAUAUUGAAACUAAUUCCAACAGCAACAAAGUAUUAGCCAGCAACCUCACACAGCCACUGUGCAAAGCUCUUUGGAGCAGGAGCCUUCUCUGUUCUGUGAUUUGUAUUUUGUGUGGUGAGGGUAGAAAUGCAAGCCUGUCAUAAUCUGUCUCAAGAAAAUAUUUGGGGGUGAGAAUAUAUGCUAUGGCUCCUUUGACAGCUUCUUUGGAACCCUCAUGUAUCCUUGCAGAUACACAUCAAGAAAGUGAGGGAGAGCUGUGCAGUGGAAGAUGGUGGAAUCACCCCAUCCCGUUGAAAGUGUUUUCCAUAUCCAUAUAAAACCAACAGCUGCGCAACACACUGGAGGUGUAACACAAGGAUGUCAGAAUUCAACUUAAAUCAAGGUGUGCUGCUCACAGUAGCACGCCUGCCUUAAUUCGGGGCAGCUGCUGAGCAGGACCUUCAAAGACCUCCACAGACCUCUCUGCUCUGGUCUCCCAUGAAGGGCAGAAAUGACAAGGAAAGUCUGUGCUCUCUAUACAUAGUAUCUGCUACCAUCCCUCCCAUGUGGCACCUAAGCCUAGAUGGGCUUGGAAAGAUUUUUCCCUCCCACCUGAACAUGUAGAAAGUGUUUUCUCUUUUGCCUGGGGUGUGUUGAUGUGCAGGAUGGAGAGACUGACUUGUUCAAGGACAGAGAAGCCCACAGUAAAGCUGGGCACAAAGACUGAGUGCAGACUUUUCUUCUUACCCCAUCCACUUUGCCCAUGCCCAGCAAUACCCUAAUAUCUGCUUCAUAGUAAAUGAAUGUUCUGGAUGAAGGGAGGGAGUUUAAGGAAUUCAUCCAACCUCUGUCACUCCUGUAGCUUUAACUCUUUCUUGCCUGGCUCAGCAGUGACUGACUGCCAGGCUUUGCCUCACUAGGUGCUCAGGAUCCAGCUGGACACAAGGGGAAGAGAUGGGUCUUUAAAAGUGGAGCUCUGCAUAAGGAAAGAUGUUGAGCAAGACUGCACAAGAAAAGGGGACAAUUUUGUUUCAGCUGACCUGGUCCCAGCUUCAUAUUGUCACUGUGAUCACAAGCUAGGGAAAAACUGUCCUAAAGCCACACUGAUCACAAAAUCACAGAAUCACAGAAUAUCCUGAUUUGGAAGGGACCCACAAGGAUCAUCAAAUUUCAGCUCCUUGCCCUGCACAGGACAGUCCCGAGAAUCACACCAUAUGCCUGUGAGAAUCAUCCAAAUGCUUCGUGAACUCAGACAGGGUCAGUGCUGUGACCAUUUCCUCAGGGAGCCUGUUCCAAUGCUCAACCCUUUGGGUGAAGAACCUUUUUCUAAUAUCCAACCUAAACUUUGCCCAGCUCAGUUUCAUGCUGUUCCCUGGGGUCCUAUCAUUGGCACUGUCUCUCUGCUGCCCCUCACAAGGAAUUUGUAGAUUGCAAUGAGAUCUCCUUUCAGUCUCCUCCAGGCUGAACAGACCAAGUGACCUAAGCCACUCCACAUAUGGCUUGCCCUCCACACCCUCUUUUGGUAGCCCUUUUUUGGACUCUCUUAUAUUGUGGUGCCCAAAGCUGCCCCCAGCACUGGAGGUGAGGCUGCCCCAGUGCAGAGCAGAGCAGGACAAUCCCCUCCCUUGCCAGGCUGGGGAUGCUGUCCCUGAUGCCCCCCAGGACAGGUUGUCCCUCCUGGCUGCCAGGGCACUGCUGGCUCAGGUUCAACUUGCCAUGGACCAGGAUCCCCAGGUCCUUUUCCAUGGCACUGCUCUCCAGCCUCUGGUUCCCCAGUCUGCACAUCCAGGGCUGCACCACCCCAGGUGCAGAAGUUGCCACUUGCCCUUGUUACCUUCACAUGGUUGGUGACUGCCCAGUCCUCUCAUUUGUUGAGGUCUCUCUGCAGCCUCUCCCUGCCUUGGAGGGAGCCAACAGCUCCUCCCCCUCGUGUAUUGUCUGAACUGGCUCAGUGUCCCUCCCAGCCCUGUGUCCAGGUCAUUUAUGGAGAUGUUGAAGAGCAGAGGGCCAAGGAUGGAGCCCUGCAGAACCCCAGCAGUGACAGCUCCCCAGUCUGAUGUCACCCCGUUCCCUGUAACCCUUUGUGCCCCAGCUGUGAGCUCACCCAUCCCAGCAUGUGUUUAUCCAGCUGGGGGAUGAACAUUUAGUCCAGAAGGGUCCCAUGAGAGACAGUAUCAAAAGCUUUACUGAAAUCCAAAAGCACAACAUCAACUGGCUUCCCUUGAUCAGUUGGGUGGAAAUCAGGUUUGAUAAGCAGGACCUGAAGCUGUGCUGGCUGUCACCAGUGACUGUCUUGUCCUUCAAGUGCUUUUCAAUACUUCUCUCAAUAAUCUUCUCCAUUAUUUACCAGUCACUGAAGUGAGUCUGACAGGCUUACAAUUUCCAGGGUCAUCUUAACUGCACUUUUUGAAAACUGGGACAACAUUAGCCAACUUCCAGUCAACCAGGACCUCUCCAGCCUGGUGCAUCUCAUCUCCAAUAGCCAGAUCACCAAGGCAAUUAUAGCUCACAUCCAAGAAAAACUAAGAAGAUGAAUGAAUAAAAAUGUUGAAAUAUUAGAUCAUCAUCAGAACAAUGAAAACCCCAAACAGAUACAAACAAUGUUAUUGCCUUUUUUUUUCCCAAUUUCAAGCUGAAAACCUGUUUGGGCCAGAAUUCUUUGGAAUCGUGCUUCUGAAUGUGCCUAUAGUUAGGAGAUAAAAAAAGAGGUGUUAAAGCUGUUAAGGGAUGUGAUCAUCACAAUGAGGGACUGGUUGCAGCCUGCAGGAACCUGAAAAGAAACUGGUGAGUGCAGGAGUUAGAAGGCAUUGCUAUGACAACAAAGCAAACCACCCCUGAAGAGAAUAGAAAAUAUGUACAGCCAUGCCAAGAUUAUAAGCAAAGAAAAGUAUAUUCUAAGAGGAGGCAAAUGAAACAUUGACUUGGAAAACAAAAUUAUGCCUUUAGCAUGAUUUCUUUAUGCAUGGCAUCUUUUCAGGAAAAGCAUGCUUUUAGCAGAGGGAAAGAAACUUUGGCUAAAGCACCUUUUUUCCCAGUCCUUACGCUUUGAGGAGGUAGCAGAAAGAUCUGUGCUUUAUGUUUGCACUCUCACAUUUUGGUUAUCUAUGGUUGUUUAAGUUAUCCAUAAUGAGGUCUUUAUGCUUUUUUCCAGCCAACACUUAUUGUACUUUUGAAUAAAUUUAAUGCUAACUUUCUUACCUUUUCCUUCCUAAUAAAAUUAAUCACAUUUACCACUUUUUUAUUCACAUUCAAAGCUCAGGAUACUCCAUGGAGUGUUAAACCUAGAAAUUCCUCUAGCAUUCUGGCAGAGAAGGUUUCCAUGUUCUUCUACAGCUGCACAUAAGUCAUUAGCAGGAUCAGUCCAAGCAGUUUUCUGGACCAUACCUAGCAGAAAGUUCCCUGGUGAUACUGAUGCUUGAUGACAGUCAACUCUUAAAAUCAGAGCCAGCAUGGCUGUUGACAAAAUGGUCCACACUUUGUGUGCUCAGCCAGGAGGGGGAAAAUCCUCUGUUUCCCAAAAUGAAUGAGCAAAUGAGCAAGCCAGAAGAAUUCACUACAGCAAGAGUGUGCUGAAGAGGUGAUGAGCAGCAUCCAGGGUUUGUGGCAGGGAGCAGAGCUGGGCAGCUUUGUGCACAGAACUCUUCUGCAGAGAGGAUGUCCUAUACCGAAGAAUUGAACAGAUACUGCUUGAAACAGAGCAGUAUCAGGCCCUACCUGGACAGUCUUAUGGUGACUUUCAAGACUUAUCUUCUAAUUUGGCUCUGGAGCAAUAGGAGAGAGAGUCUUAUACACAUGCUCAAGUGAGCUGUCCUCUCUCUCUACAAGAGCCUCAUGGUGCAGCCCCCUGCCCCCCUCCUGAGCAGUUCUGCAUCACUUUCUGGCAUAAAUACCUUCCUGCUUCAGCCUCAGAGACUUCAUUCCCUAGCCAGAGCCUGAAACACAGAGCUCUACUGUUCAAAACAUGUGCUGUACCCCAUAAUACAUCUAGAACAUCAGCAAACCAACACAUGAAAAAUGUUGUCCUGGACUAGGAGGUAUCUUGCACCAACAACAAAAUAAGUGAAACUGUCCUUGCCUGUACUACUGCUGUGGAGGGGUGUGGGCUGAAUCCCCUAACAGAGACAUGGCCUGUGCCACCAAAGGGAAUUUCAGCCUACGGCAACGCCACCAACAUACCCAGACAUGCUAAGCUGUCAGAAACACUCAUCUGUCAGCACAGCUCUGUCUACACCAGCACCUUGCCAGCAGUGGGGGAGUUCGUUUCUUUCCACACCCUAGAAUUACACUGGCAAACUCUGUAGGUUACACUAAGCCACAGAGUGCAGGCCACGUGUACAUACACUUUAUUGGCCUUCAUUUGAUCCUGUGCAUUAAGGGCAGCUGGGCUUCCUCUCCUUCCCACUAAAUAAUAAUUAUAGCCAUUGUUCCCAGUGGGCAAAGAGACCCUGUUCACACAUAUCCAGAAAGACAAGACAUAUAAUUAACACCUUGUGGGAUAGAGAGCUUUUGUUCAGAUUAGUCAUUACGUGUCUUGCAGCCUGAAAACAGUGCUUCUUACAUUCAUUUCAACUCACUUCGUCCCUGCCUCAGAGCUUACUGCUUGCUUCUUCCCAGGUCAUUGUACAUGUAUGUGUCCAGCAGCAGUGCUUAGUAAGCUGAGGCCAACAGCUUCAUCCCAGUAUCCAGAGCAGGCGGUCCUGAAUUGCCACGUGCAUCCCAUGUUCUGCACAUUGGCGGGUGCUGUGGCUGUUGCUGCUGCAGCUGUUGCUGCUGCUACUAAACCCAUUGCAAAAAAAUUGGCAAAGAUUUCUGCCAAAGAUACAAGGCAGAGGGCAGGUCUCCUACCUUGAGACUUGGGCUACAGGAAGAAAGUAAGAUUACAUGCAGUGAUGGGCUUAAAUAACAGUUCAAUGCUCUCUCCUCUUCCUCCUUCCUCUUAUUUUUUUUUUCCUUAUCCCAUUUCCUUUCUCACUGAACAUCCCAUUUUCACUCUGCAUUCUGUCCUAUUCCUUGUACUAGCUUCCACUCUCUUCUGACCAGUCCAAAAAUCUCCUUUUUGUGAGUGUGUAGAUUUAGUUUUUUAUUUUUCACUUUAGAUUUCAUUUUUAUCAAUACCUUAGUUCAGUGCUUUCAACUGAAGGAUCCCAAACAGGCUGAAGACUGGCACAAUGGGAGGAGCAGAAUAGUCACAGUUUAGGGCAGAACAGAGGUGCACAGAGCAAGAGGGGAUA